rnacentral:misc_RNA from 1 species
GGAUAUACAAAGGUAAGACAAUAUUAUCACCUUGAAAAUAUGGAAAGCAGAGAUUUGGAUGUUUUUGCUCGAGUCCUUUAGUAGAUUCAUCAUAACUUUCAAAUGGCCGACUUCUGCUAUAUAACGCUUCAUAAUAAGGGAGUUGGGAGGCUCCAGUAGAAAUUCUGAGAGAAGCUAUACUUCAUGAAACAUUUAUCAGCAGCGGAAGA